rnacentral:rRNA from 1 species
UACGAAGGGGGCUAGCGUUGCUCGGAAUCACUGGGCGUAAAGCGCACGUAGGCGGAUUGUUAAGUCAGGGGUGAAAUCCUGGAGCUCAACUCCAGAACUGCCUUUGAUACUGAAGAUCUUGAGUUCGGGAGAGGUGAGUGGAACUGCGAGUGUAGAGGUGAAAUUCGUAGAUAUUCGCAAGAACACCAGUGGCGAAGGCGG